AUCUAAAAACUCUGCUAAAAUUUCUGUUCGAGUACUCCAUUCUUGUUGAGGCAGAGAACUGACUUGAGCAUCGGAGGGUCUUGCCGAAGCACCCCCAACUCCAGUUUAGACUUUCUUUGCAGGUCCCGAUGGUGACCGCGACUCCCUCGACUCCAGCUUCUCCGACACCAGCGGAUUUUUGCAUCAACAGGAUUGGCGCU
rnacentral:lncRNA from 1 species